GACUAUGAUGAGAUGUUGG
rnacentral:miRNA from 1 species